UCCUUUUAACCCCACAAACCCCCAGCGAUGCGGCCAUGAAGGAAACGCCCGCAACCGCAGCCGCAGCGCCGCUCCCCGCCUUACCUUAAACCUAGCGCCUCCCUUCUCUCCCUUUGGCGGCGCCGCCCACCGUUCCCUCGCAGGUGAUGUGGAUACACCUCGCACUCAUAGCCUUCUAUUGCUAGGAUGAGGAGCUUGGACGUCUUGAGGGCGGAUUUGACCAUGGAUCUGCAUUCGCGUACCACGAAAUCCCUGUUAGAUUCGCUCCCAGUGCUGGCAAGAUGAUUUCGGGCUACUCCAUGACGCAGAGGUAUCUCAAAGAGCUUCGGCGGCGAUUUAGAGAAAGGGAACGGCAGAAGUUCAAAUUCCAGGUGCAAUUUCUCCAUUUCCGUUUCUACUCUAUCACCCGUGCUCUUCUUCUAUAUAUGCAUUGAUGUUUUUUUUUGCCUGGAUUGGAUGAUGCACAAUAUGGCCUGAUGCUUUGAUGACGAUCCGGCGCUUACAUCUGGUGGCCCACAUCAAUAAUAAUCACUUGGAUAGAUCGUGCAUUGCCAUGGAAGGGAAAUGGAGACAGGGAUCUGAGUAAGCUGAAAGUAUAUGGAGAUAUGGAUCGUGCAUUGCCAUGGAAGGGGAAUGGAGAUAGGGAUAUUGUUGUAUAAUACUGUAUCAGCUUAUUUAUCUGCACACUCGCUUCUGUGUGUCUAAUCAUAUACUAGCUGCAUAAUAAAUGUGUUAGUUGUAGCUUAUAAUGUUUAUCAAGGAAUACUUUUUGCUGCGGUAAUUAUUCCUAGGCAUGGAGAUUAUUUUUGCCUUGAUAUUUAUCAACACAUAAUCUGAUUAUUUGGGAUUUGGAGCAGUUUUCUUUUUGGGAUUUGGAGCAGUUAAUAAUAAGCACAUUGUAAGAGCAUGGGGGUGCGGCGGCGUAAGUGCACGACAGAGGACUUUUGUGCAUCCUUGAGUCUUGACAAGUUUGAUGGCCUUGAGGCAAAGUCGGAGAGGCAGCAGAGCAUGCGGCAGUGGCACGAGAGGCCACACCAAAAUCCUCAAGCAGGUGCACAUCAGCAGCAACAACCUGCAACACAGCUGCAGGACGACCUGCAGGUCGUGCAUCUCAAGGAAUGCGUACUUAACAAACCCCUGCUAGAACUGCUUGUUUGGUGUUAAUCUUUAAAAGACAAAAAAUGCAAAUGGAUCUUCCGGUUCUUGUAUCAGUUCCAAGGUCUGAUACAUUAGCCUGGCUUGCUAUUAUUGGAUAUCAUCUGUGGAGAUGUAACACAAAUAGUAGAAUGGAUAAAUAGGACUUGUAGAUUAUCAUGUUUGGAUGCAAGAUUGUAACUGUCUACUCUAUACAGAUAGCACUACACUAUACAUAUAGCGCUAGGUAGAAUAUCAUAUUUUGAUGAUACAUUGUAAUUUUUCUACUCUUCUUUCUUGUAUGAGGUGGUGAUUCAAUAUUAAAUAUUGAUUUUUUUCUUCACACAA